CGCGAUCCACACGGGAGUGCACACCGAGUGCGCUGAGAGGACGGCUGACCGGCUGUCGACCGUACGAACCUGACCGGGUAAUGCCGGCGUAGGGAGAUGCAGGUGAACGCUU
rnacentral:ncRNA from 2 species